rnacentral:rRNA from 1 species
ACCCGCUGAACUUAAGCAUAUCAAUAAGCGGAGGAAAAGAAACCAACCGGGAUUACCUCAGUAACGGCGAGUGAAGCGGUAACAGCUCAAAUUUGAAAUCUGGCUCCUGCGGAGUCCGAGUUGUAAUUUGUAGAAGAUGCUUUGGGAGGUAGGGCCGGCCUAAGUUCCUUGGAACAGGACAUCAGAGAGGGUGAGAAUCCCGUAUGUGGCCGCGGCCUACGCCCGUGUAAAGCUCUUUCGACGAGUCGAGUUGUUUGGGAAUGCAGCUCAAAAUGGGUGGUAAAUUUCAUCUAAAGCUAAAUAUUGGCCAGAGACCGAUAGCGCACAAGUAGAGUGAUCGAAAGAUGAAAAGCACUUUGGAAAGAGAGUUAAACAGUACGUGAAAUUGUUGAAAGGGAAGCGCUUGCACCCAGACUUGGGCGUCGUCGAUCAUCCGAGGUUCUCCUCGGUGCACUCGGCGAUGCACAGGCCAGCAUCGGUUUGGAUGGCUGGAGAAAGGCGCUAGGAACGUAGCUCUCUUCGGGGAGUGUUAUAGCCUAGGGCGUAAUGCAGCCCAUCCGGACCGAGGACCGCGCCUUCGGGCUAGGAUGCUGGCGUAAUGGUUGCAAGCGACCCGUCUUGAAACACGGACCAAGG